GUUGUGAGUCGAGAGGGUGAGAAAUACUGUGUGAUUGUAAAAUUUAUCAUAUAGUAAUUUUUCAGUGGGUCGUGGUUUUUCUCCGGAUUUGGAGUUUCCACGUUAAAUUCUUGUGUUGUUAAAUUGUGUCUAGUUUUAUUCUUAUUUCUUGCUUCUACCAAGUUUGGAUGGGGAACUGAUUUCCCAACAAUUGGUAUCAGAGC
rnacentral:lncRNA from 1 species